CAUUUAUGUUCGUCUGUCGUAGAGGCCACAUGCAGUGCAGGAGCCACUGUGUCCCUUGAAGUGAAUUUUUAUCUUUGAGCACAACGCAGCAUGAUGAUGCCACCAGCAUUCUUCAUAGUUUUAUGGUGUUCUCAAGGCAAUAGACUUACAAUUUUAGGGCUACUCUGCACACCUGGCUUAUGUGCCUCCCUUUUCCACCAGUUACUCUGCUGUGACUCCUGCGGCCACACGGAUGUCCUUCCCCAGUAUGGCACAUAAUAAUGCUGGGAUAUCAGUGUGACGGCGCUCAUGUAUUAAUGUGAAUGACAGGCCUCCUCACCCACAUCAAAACUAUUAACAACAUUUCUACCCGUGGCGUGCCUCAGUACCACCACCACAGCCAUUUGAUCCCGAAGCCUUCUCAACUUCCCUGCAAAAAAGUCAUCUCUGAUAAAGGAGCACUGGAAUAAUCGGGUAGAAGGGUCCUUUCAUCAGAUUGGCCAGCCCACCACUUACUCUGUGAGGUCUCCUGGACUCUGAACAAAUCUAUAUCCUCAUAUGUGAUAGUUCUGUAAUCAGUGAGUGGCAUAUAUGUUGCCUCUGACCUCGGAGGAGCGAUGUGAGGCAGAGCCAGGCAGUAUAUAUGAGCAGUUAUUUUAUGUCUAAUAAGUGACUAGAAAUGGGACACUAAAUUUCAUGGACAGGGAAAUCUGUCCCGACGAGACUAAAACACAACUGGCCGCACCCCUGAUGAUUUACGGUUUAUUAAAGAAGCCGCACCGUGGAUCCGUUUGUCAUUGCACUUAAAGACAGAGGGACCACUGGAUGAGAACCUGAACCAAAUGGCACAAGACAAGUCAUUCACAUCAGCAAUGGAGACAAGCCACCUACUUGAAUCACAACCACGCAGGCCUCACCACAUGAAACAUGUGAUAUGCCUCACAAUCAGAAUAUAAAACAUAUAAGAAAAAGCCAGGCAACAGACAACAAAGAGUUUGUUAAAAAUAUGUAAUCAGAUUCCUGGUGUCAAAUGAAAAAAACAAAGAACCUGUACCAGAAAGCAAAGUAUGUAGAAGGAGAACAAUACCUUCUAUAAGCAAAUCAUCAGCUGUUCAGCAUGGUGUGGGUUACCUUAUGGCUUAGGUGGGUAUAACUGCCAAUGGAACUGGCAUCCUUGUGUUCACUGAUGCCACUGCUGAGCACAGCAGCACAAUAAAUGACUUCAAUGUUAAUUUAUCUUUUGAACCCCUAACACUGAGAAAGAUUUUACAAAAAGGACUGUAGCUUCCAGUUCAAUUGACAUUAAAAUAGCUGUUGUCACUUUGCCAUUGUUUAAGUUCAAAUCCAGUUUUCUGGUGUGCAUAGCAUAAACAACAAAAACUGAGGGACUGUCCAAAUAUUUUGUCUAGAUGGAACACGGUAGUAGGUGUUAUGUAUGGUACAUUUUCCUUUUUAAUUAUUUAUUUAUUUAUUUUUAAACCAGACCACAAUGUCACUAAAGAAUAUGGUAUAUGAUAUACACAUGCCUGGCAUACACUCUGAUGUCGCACAUCUAGGUAGCUGAUGUUUUGCAGAUACUGUAAGUUUCUGUUUCCUGUUGUCAUAAGGCCUGCACUAAACUCCUGUUAAAGCGAUCCAGUGUGAUUCUGAUGUAAAUAAAUAUUUUGGUUUAUGUCCAGACUUUACAAUUUAUUGGUGGUAUUCCUUGUACCAAGAUUGCUUGAUUAUUUUGAUUACUGCUAUCACUAGCAUUCUAAAUGGAACCUUUUUACCUAAAUCCAUGUUCCAGAUGUGCAUUUUUUAGGUUUUACUCAGUAUAGUUUUGCUUAGUGCAAUACCACCAAAGUAUUUUAUAAAAUUCAAAUUGAAUACUUUUAACUUUUGUACAAUGGCUUGGUAUAGCUUAGGUUAC